UAGGGAAUCUUCCACAAUGGGCGCAAGCCUGAUGGAGCAACGCCGCGUGAGUGAAGAAGGUCUUCGGAUCGUAAAACUCUGUCGUUAGAGAAGAACAUGCAGGAGAGUAACUGUUCUUGUAUUGACGGUAUCUAACCAGAAAGCCACGGCUAACUACGUGCCAG
rnacentral:rRNA from 1 species